rnacentral:rRNA from 1 species
CCCACGUUCGGAUUGCAGCCUGCAACUCGGCUGCAUGAAGCUGGAAUCGCUAGUAAUCGCGGAUCAGAAUGCCGCGGUGAAUACGUUCCCGGGUCUUGUACACACCGCCCGUCACACCAUGGGAGUCGGGAAUGCCCGAAGUCAGUGACCCAACCGAAAGGGGGAGCUGCCGAAGGCAGGCCUGGUAACUGGGGUGAAGUCGUAACAAGGUAUC